UACAGAGGUCUCAAGCGUUGUUCGGAUUCAUUGGGCGUAAAGGGUGCGUAGGCGGCGCGGUAAGUCGGGUGUGAAAUCUCGGGGCUUAACUCCGAAACUGCAUUCGAUACUGCGUGGCUAGAGUGCUGGAGAGGAGACUGGAAUUUACGGUGUAGCAGUGAAAUGCGUAGAUAUCGUAAGGAAGACCAGUGGCGAAGGCGAGUCUCUGGACAGCAACCUGACGCUGAGGCACGAAGGCCAGGGGAGCAAACGGG
rnacentral:rRNA from 1 species